rnacentral:rRNA from 1 species
GACGAACGCUGGCGGCGUGCCUAACACAUGCAAGUCGAACGGAAAGGCCCUGCUUGCGCGGGGUGCUCGAGUGGCGAACGGGUGUGUAACACGUGAGUAACCCGCCCUUGACGUUGGGAUAACUUCAGGAAACUGGGGCUAAUACCGGAUAGGAGCUGCUGCUGCAUGGUGGGGGUUGGAAAGUUUCGGCGGAUGGGGAUAGACUCGGGGCUUAUGAGCUUGUUGGUUGGGUAGUUGCUUACCAAGGGAUUGAUGGAUAGCCGGCCUGGGAGGGUGGACGGCGUCCAUAGGACUGAGAGACGGACCAGUCGCGAACGGGGGACAGUAGGGGAAAGUCUUGCACAGUGAGCGGGAGUGUGAUAAGAAGGCGCUGCGUGCGGAAAGACGGCCUACGGGUUGUAAACCGCAGUCGGCUGAGACGAAGCGUGAGUGACGUUAAUGGGAGAAGAAGCACCGGCUAACUACGUG